GGUGUUACUGUAGAGUGUGUGUGUGUGAGAGUCCUGGUGUUGCUGGAGUGUGUGUGUAAGAGAGUCCUGGUGUUGCUGGAGUGUGUGUGUGUGUGUGUGUGUGAGAGAGAGUCCUGGUGUUGCUGGAGAGUGUGUGUGAGAGAGUCCUGGUGUUACUGGAGUGUGUGUGAGAGAGUCCUGGUGUUGCUGUAGUGUGUGUUUGUGUGUGUGAGAGAGUCCUGGUGUUGCUAUAGUGUGUGUGAGAGAGUCCUGGUGUUGCUGUAGUGUGUGUGUGAGAGAGUCCUGGUGUUACUGGAGAGUGUGUGAGAGAGAGUCCUGGUGUUGCUGUAGUGUGUGUGUGAGAGAGUCCUGGUGUUGCUGGAGUGUAUGUGUGUGUGUGUGUGUGUGUGUGUGUGUGUGUGUGUGUGUGUGUGGUGUGUGUGUGUGAGAGAGAGUCCUGGUGUUACUGGAGUGUGUGUGUGAGAGAGUCCUGGUGUUGCUGUAGUGUGUGUGUGAGAGAGUCCUGGUGUUACUGUAGAGUGUGUGUGUGUGAGAGAGUCCUGGUGUUGGUGUAGUGUGUGUGUGUGAGUGAGUCCUGGUGUUACUGGAGUGUGUGUGUGUGAGAGAGUCCUGAUGUUGCUGUAGUGUGUGUGUGUGAUAGAGUCCUGGUGUUACUAAAGUGUGUGUGAGAGAGUCCUGGUGUUGCUGGUGUG
ensembl:lncRNA